GUUGUGAAAUGUUGGGUUAAGUCCCGCAACGAGCGCAACCCUUAUCCUUUGUUGCCAGCGAGUAAUGUCGGGAACUCAAAGGAGACUGCCGGUGAUAAACCGGAGGAGGGUGGGGAUGACGUCAAGUCAUCAUGGCCCUUACGAGUAGGGCUACACACGUGCUACAAUGGCAUAUACAAAGAGAAGCGAACUCGCGAGAGCAAGCGGACCUCAUAAAGUAUGUCGUAGUCCGGAUUGGAGUCUGCAACUCGACUCCAUGAAGUCGGAAUCGCUAGUAAUCGUAGAUCAGAAUGCUACGGUGAAUACGUUCCCGGGCCUU
rnacentral:rRNA from 1 species